UACAUAGGAUCAAAGCGUUGUCCGGAAUUAUUGGGCGUAAAGAGCGCGCAGGCGGUAUGACAAGUCAGACGUGAAAGAGGCCGGCUUAACCGGCAAGGGUCAUUUGAAACUGUCAGACUAGAGUGCAGCAGAGGAUAGUGGAAUUCCCGGUGUAGUGGUGAAAUGCGUAGAUAUCGGGAGGAACACCAGUGGCGAAGGCGACUAUCUGGGCUGCAACUGACGCUGAGGCGCGAAGGCUAGGGUAGCAAACAGG
rnacentral:rRNA from 1 species